rnacentral:lncRNA from 1 species
CCCUACCUUGCGGGGCCGGGAGAUCCCUGGGAUUUCAGAAGCAGAUUCCCUGCUCACCUGGAGACCCGAGCCCCCGCCCCCGCCCCCGCCGCCUCCGAGAGCCCAGGGGUUCUGGGGGCCAGAAGGGGGGGCGCAAACAAGCCCCGAGCCAGCCCCUCCAUCUGCGGCGCGCGGACCAGCUCCCCAGAAAAGGCGGCCGGGGAGGAGACCUGGCAAAGGGGGAAGGGAGCAGAGCAGCCGGGAGGGACCCAGGCCCCCGGCAGCCGCCGCAGAUCGGCGUUUUCCCGUUGCUGUCAGAGGGCCCACAAUGGCCCGUGAUGGGUCCCUCGGCCCCGAGCUGCGUCCGGGGCGGGGGGGGGCAGGGAGGGAAGGCUGAAGUGGGGGCGCGCAGGUUUGUCUGUACAGAGCCCCCGCCCCCCAAUCCGCCCCACGAAAAUAAACGUCCUCCGUCCUCCAAAGUUUCGGAAAGACCCCUCCCAGCUCCGACAUUCCUUGUUCUGAGGCCCUUCAGGUUCUUCACGUCUGCCCAGCCUGGUCCCAUGCAUUGGGUUCUAGAAAUGGCCAGCACCGGACACAAAUAGUAGCUGUCUGUGAAACCAUCGUCUACAUCCUUCUAUUUAUCAGUUACUUCUCUGGGUGCAGAGAGCGUCUUCCUUCCCAGUUGGGGAAUGGCUGAAAAGCUGGGGCAGGAAAUUGGGGUAGAAUAUGACUGUGCUAUCGGAAAUUACAAGCUCAAGGAUCUUGGAAAACCAUGGAAAGAUUUGCAUGAAAUAAUAAAGAGCAAGAUGAGAAGAAAACAUUGUCCACAGUGAAAUUGUUUUGAUAAUGACUUUGAACAACUAAGUCACUUUUAGUAUUAUAUUUGCUAUAUUUACUAUUAUAUUUAUAUAAUUUAUUUACUAUUAUAAAAUGUCCAAAUUAAUUACAAAGGAGAUAUGCA